rfam:Stegodyphus mimosarum contig1242, whole genome shotgun sequence.
GCCUUCGUGGUGUAAUGGUCAGCACACUGAGCUGGUAUUUCAGAGGUCCGCGGUUCGAUCCCCGGCGAAGGCA